UACUCUGCCGCGACUCACUCUCUGACGCCGCUCUUGUUGUUUCGCUCACUGGCACAGGGACGCGACAGACGUGCUAACGGUGGUUUGUCUCGCUUGCGCGCGCGUGGGACUAGUCUUGAUCUACUCACUCACUCACUGAGUGACUGAAUGUGCGUGCUGUGUCGUACGCUCUGUGGAGGAAGAAGCAGUGGUGGUGUAGUGGUUGUGGUGGUGGUGGUGCAUCAUCGUCUAAGGAGGAAGUAAUAUACACGGAGGCUGAGGCUAAAAACAGCAACAGCUAUGACGACGACGUCAAACACAACAAUAAUAACAAUAAUAGAAACAAUAAUGUGACAGCUGUGUAAGUGAAUAAGAAGCGAAACAUCGGGAGAAAAAUAAUGUGUUGAUUAAUACUGUGGAAUGUAGAAAAUUUCAUUUAUUCUGAAGAAAGACGUUGUUUUCUUUGUGAAUCCACGCGUGGUUGUUGGUACAAACACAAACGGCGUAUUUAGAGUGAUGAGAAGGAUUAUACCGACAAUAAUCUCUAUUUCAGUGCGGAUAUCUUAGUACAAGGAUCAGAUCUUCAAGAGGGUUUAACAACGUUGAGCGUCCACGAAUAGAUCUGCCGCUCGGAAUGUGUGACGCUGUUGGAGCUGUCUGCGGUCGGACGUAGUAUUAUGAAGCUUGGACAGGCACGAAAGAGAAAAAUAAUAUGACGUUUUCUUGAGUGAUUUGACGUUGUGGAUUGAAGCAGAUGACCAAGACUGUAUGGGGCAUUAAUCAAUUACAAUCAAGGCUGACUUCGUUAUUUUUAUUCUGCAUUCAUGUAGAAUUGCUUUUCUUCUCCUGAUUUGUUUGGAGUUGGUUGUUUUGGGGUGCUUUUUGUUUUUAUUUUUUUGCCUUUUCCAGGAGUUAGUUGUAAGUUUCUUUCUAUUUUCUUGUUUGCCAUGGUGGGUGCAUCUAUCUGUACUGUAGAAAGAAACAAACAAACUAACAGCAAAA